rnacentral:rRNA from 1 species
GUCUAUGGCCAUGCUACCCUGAACAAGACCGAUCCCGUCUGAUCUCAGAAGCUAAGCAGGGUUGAGCCUGGUUAGUACUUGGAUGGGAGACCACCCAGGAAGACCAGGUGCUGUAGGCA